GGGCGCGUAACUCAGUGGUUAGAGUGCCAUCUUCACACGGUGGAAGUCGCAGGUUCGAAUCCCGCCGCGCCCA
rnacentral:tRNA from 2 species